UGGUAUUUGGUCAUAUAUUGAAGAUGGUGGUAAUCUUCGUGAACAAAUGGCUGGCUUCUAUACUUACUAUGCUGCCGGGAUGGGCACUGAAGGCAACAGGGAUUUCACAGCAUGGGUUGAACCCUAUGAGUUUGCCACCGGUGA
rnacentral:ribozyme from 1 species